AGGGCCAAAGGUGGAUGCCUAGGCUGGUAGAGGCGAUGAAAGACGCACUAGGCUGCGAAAAGUCACGAGGAGUUGCCAAGAAGCUUUGAUUCGUGAAUUUCUGAAUGGGGCGACCCAACUAGUAGAGAUAUUAGUUAUCAUAUUUAUAUGAGGCGAACCUAGGGAAGUGAAACAUCUCAGUACCUAGAGGAAGAGAAAUCAACAGAGAUUCCCCAAGUAGCGGCGAGCGAAACGGGAAGAGGACAAACCAACUGCUUGCAGUUGGGGUUGCGGACUGCAUUUAAUACUCAAGUCGAUAGAAGAAUAAGUUGGAAAGCUUAGCUAAAAAGAGUGAUAGCCUCGUAAUCGAAAUUGAUAAGAGAUGAGCAGUAUCCAGAGUAGGUCGGAACACGUGAUAUUUUGACUGAAGCUGGGGGGACCACCCUCCAAUCCUAAAUACUACUACCAGACCGAUAGUGAACCAGUACCGUGAGGGAAAGGUGAAAAGAACCGCAGUGAGCGGAGUGAAAUAGAACCUGAAACCAUCUGCCUACAAUCAUUCAGAGCCCUAUGUCUUCGGACAGGGUGAUGGACUGCCUUUUGCAUAAUGAGCCUGCGAGUUAUGGUGACUAGCAAGGUUAAUCAAACGAGAAGCCGUAGCGAAAGCGAGUCUUAAUAGGGCGAUAGUUAGUUGCUGUAGACCCGAAACUAAGUGAUCUAUCCAUGGGCAGGUUGAAGCUGGUGUAAGAGCUAGUGGAGGACCGAACGGGUGAAGGUUUAAAACUUCUCCGAUGACCUGUGGAUAGGGGUGAAAGGCCAAUCAAACUUAGUGAUAGCUGGUUCUCUCCGAAAUAUAUUUAGGUAUAGCGUCAUGUUCGAAACAUGAGGGGGUAGAGCACUGAUUGGGCUAGGGCCUAUACCAAGGUACCAAACCCAGUCAAACUCCGAAUACCUCAUGUGAAUUCAUGGCAGUCAGGCGUAGGGUGAUAAAAUCCUAUGUCGAGAGGGAAACAGCCCAGACUACCAGCUAAGGUCCCAAAGUUCUAAUUAAGUGGAAAAGGAUGUGGAGUUGCUUAGACAACCAGGAGGUUGGCUUAGAAGCAGCCAUCCUUUAAAGAAAGCGUAACAGCUCACUGGUCGAGCGGGGGAGCGCCGAAAAUAUAACGGGGCUAAAGCCAUCCGCCGAAGUCGUAGACUCUAGAGUGGAUCUAGAGUGGUAGGAGAGCGUUGAUGACGGCGUAGAAGCUGUACCGGUGAGGAGCAGUGGAGCGUCAUCAAGUGAGCAUGCAGGCAUGAGUAGCGAUAAAGUGGGUGAGAAUCCCACUCGCCGAAAGCCUAAGGUUUCCUACACGAUGCUCGUCAGUGUAGGGUUAGUCGGGACCUAAGACGAGGCCGAGAGGCGUAGUCGAUGGGAAAACGGUUAAUAUUCCGUUACCUACUAACAGCGAGGCGAAGGGGGGACGCCUAGGGUUAGCCGAGGUCACUGAUGGAAUAGUGGCUCGAAGGGUGUAGGAGGAGUGGUAGGCAAAUCCGCCACUCGAAACUCCGAGACCUGACAGGCUCCCGAAGCUCUUCGGAGCGGAGGGAGAAUCGGUGAUACCGUCGGGCCGAGAAAAGCCUCUAAGCCGUUUGAGCUGUUAGUAGCCCGUACCGCAAACCGACACAGGUAGGCGGGAUGAGUAUUCUAAGGCGCGUGGAAGAACCCUCCCUAAGGAACUCGGCAAACUGGCACCGUAACUUCGGGAUAAGGUGUGCCCCGAGUAGGUGAAGGGACUUAGCUCCUGGAGCCGAAAGGGGUCGCAGCGCAGCGCUCUUGCCGACUGUUUACCAAAAACACAGCACUCUGCUAACUCGUAAGAGGAAGUAUAGGGUGUGACGCCUGCCCGGUGCCGGAAGGUUAAGGGGAUCCGUUAGCCGAAAGGCGAAGCGGUGAACCGAAGCCCCGGUAAACGGCGGCCGUAACUAUAACGGUCCUAAGGUAGCGAAAUUCCUUGUCGGGUAAGUUCCGACCUGCACGAAUGGCGUAACGAUCUGGGCGCUGUCUCAAUGUGAUUCUCAGUGAAAUUGAAAUGGCGGUGAAGAUACCGUCAACCCGCGGCAAGACGGAAAGACCCCGUGCACCUUUACUGCAGCUUGGCAGUGAACUUGGGAAAGAUUUGUGUAGGAUAGGUGGGAGGCUUUGAAGGGGGGGCGCUAGUCCCUCUGGAGCCACCCUUGAAAUACCACCCUGAUUUUUUCUGUGUUCUAACUUAGUCCCGUUAUCCGGGACAAGGACCCUGCCUGGUGGGCAGUUUGACUGGGGCGGUCGCCUCCUAAAGAGUAACGGAGGCGCGCAAUGGUUCCCUCAGCCGGUUUGGAAAUCCGGCGCAGAGUGCAAAGGCACAAGGGAGCUUGACUGCAAGAGCGACAGCUCGAGCAGGUACGAAAGUAGGUCUUAGUGAUCCGGUGGCCCCGUGUGGAAGGGCCAUCGCUCAACGGAUAAAAGGUACGCCGGGGAUAACAGGCUAAUCGCGCCCAAGAGUUCAUAUCGACGGCGCGGUUUGGCACCUCGAUGUCGGCUCAUCGCAUCCUGGGGCUGAAGCAGGUCCCAAGGGUUGGGCUGUUCGCCCAUUAAAGCGGUACGCGAGCUGGGUUUAGAACGUCGUGAGACAGUUCGGUCCCUAUCCUCUGCAGCCGGAGGAGAUUUGAGAAAGGCUGUCCCUAGUACGAGAGGACCGGGAUGGACGUAGCUCUAGUGUGCCAGUUGUUCCGCCAGGAGCAUGGCUGGUUGGCCACCUACGGAAGGGAUAACCGCUGAAAGCAUCUAAGUGGGAAGCCCGUUUCAAGAUGAGAUCUCCCACCGGGUUAACCGGGUAAGGCCCGUGGCAGAACACCACGUUGAUAGGCCGGAGGUGUAAGUGGAGCAAUCCAUUUAGCUGACCGGUACUAAUAAAUCGAUUGUCUUUUUU
rnacentral:rRNA from 1 species